CAUCGGAACGUGCCCAAUCGUGGGGGAUAACGCAGCGAAAGCUGUGCUAAUACCGCAUACGAUCUACGGAUGAAAGCAGGGGAUCGCAAGACCUUGCGCGAAUGGAGCGGCCGAUGGCAGAUUAGGUAGUUGGUGAGGUAAAGGCUCACCAAGCCUUCGAUCUGUAGCUGGUCUGAGAGGACGACCAGCCACACUGGGACUGAGACACGGCCCAGACUCCUACGGGAGGCAGCAGUGGGGAAUUUUGGACAAUGGGCGCAAGCCUGAUCCAGCCAUGCCGCGUGCAGGAUGAAGGCCUUCGGGUUGUAAACUGCUUUUGUACGGAACGAAACGGCCUUUUCUAAUAAAGAGGGCUAAUGACGGUACCGUAAGAAUAAGCACCGGCUAACUACGUGCCAGCAGCCGCGGUAAUACGUAGGGUGCAAGCGUUAAUCGGAAUUACUGGGCGUAAAGCGUGCGCAGGCGGUGAUGUAAGAC
rnacentral:rRNA from 1 species